CUGUGUGUCUCUGGUGUAAACAGCAUGACUCAUCGGGGAAGUCAAUAGUCAUCUCUCCCCUGUUUUUCAAAGACUGGGGAACUGCACCAUCUCAAGGUGACCCACCUGGAGCCACAGAAGGGAGCUAAAGAACCUGGAGAGAGAGAAAACUGGAGCUGACAAGCUCCAGCUGGGAUUUGGAGCCCGAGGCUGGUGCGGUGAGCCCUUCUGUCCUGGGGAGGGCUUGGCUCUCCUGUGGGGACUUCUCCGUGGAGUCCUGGCCAUCAUGUGGCUUCUUUGAGCACUGUGGUCUCCUUCUGGCCGAGCCUGCAGAGUUGUCCUCCAGCACCCAUCCUUGCAGAUCCCUUGCAGGCCCGCUCAGAGGGAAGGAGCUGAUAGCUCAGACUUUCGGCUGUUGACUCAGGAACUGGCCCUUGGAGGGGAGACAUUGCAGACGCCAGCACUUGGAGGGGUCCCACACUCCAAGUUUCCUUCCCUCGCAGAGCUCCAACGACCUGCUGCUGCAUCGGGGCCUUGUCCCCUCUUUCUCAGCCAGAGGAAAGUCCCCGUGGCCCAUUUUCUGAGCAGUGCUUUUCCACUCUUUCGUAAUCUAUUACUGUGACCUUGAGAUGCCGAGAGAGAAGGCUUUGGCAGGACGAGGUUCACAUGGCGCCAAUGCUGCUGGUAUCUGUGCCCUGGGACCACACGCCUGUGGCCAUGGCCGUGUCAAUCAUACUGCAUCCUUCUGCAGCCAGCGCCUGGUCAGCACCUGCAGGACCCCGGAGCCGAGAGGACUGGGCCAGCAAGGAAUGUGAGCUUGGGGGAGGGCCGUGUGUGUGUGUGUGUGUGUGUGUGUGUUUAGAGAAAGGCACAGAGGUAGAGACAAAGAAAAGAGACCAAGAGAAAUGUGCUUUUAAAGAAGACUUCAAGGUUUUUUCCUAGGACGGUACCUGAUGGAUUCGAUUCUCACCAAAAUCAGUUAUAAAAACUCUCUGCAAGAAAGUCCGUUCUUAAAUGAAGACAUCGAUGGCAGGAAUAUGGGACACAGAAGGAAGACGCUGGGAUGUGAGAGAGGAGGAAGGAGGUGUGAGGUGGAGCACGGGAACGAGGUAAUGAGGUUGGAACAAUUGUUCCUGGGCUUUCUAGCCUUCUGGUUCCUUCCUUGAAAGGAAUUUUCCAUCUGCAUUGGGCUUCCGAGUGUUUUAAAUCAUCACCUCUUCAACACCGGUGCUGCCGCUGCCACGCCACUGUUCCAGUCGUAGACGCUGUUCUUAAAAGCAGAAGCAUCUGUUUCACUGACUGAUCUGUUGGAUCAUUUCAUCCUUCAUUCAGUGUUCAGUAAACAUUUAUCGAUUGCUUGACGUCUGGAAAGCCCUGUGGACACUACACAUUGGGAGG